rnacentral:rRNA from 1 species
GCCAAAAAGCUAGCUCAACCAUAAGAAAAAUAUUACAAUAUUUAUUUACCUUACCAAAAUUAACCUAAUAAACUAAACCAUUCUUCUGCCUUAGUAUGGGCGACAGAAAAGGCACUAAAAGCAAUAGAACUAGUACCGCAAGGGAAAGCUGAAAGAGAAAUGAAAUAACCCAUUUAAGCCCAAAAAAGCAGAGAUAAAUCCUCGUACCUUUUGCAUCAUGAUUUAGUCAGAACCUUAAGAGCAUAGAGAAACUUUAGUUCUUAUUCCCGAAACCAAGUGAGCUACCCCGAGACAGCCUAUAUUAGGGCCAACCCGUCUCUGUUGCAAAAGAGUGGGAAGAUCUCCGGGUAGGGGUGACAGACCUAUCGAACUUGGUGAUAGCUGGUUGCCUAAAAAAUGGAUAUUAGUUCAGCCUCAUAUUCCCCAACCCACACAAGCAAUUCUGCUCUACGGAUUAGGGCAACUUAUGAGAGUUAUUCAAAGGGGGUACAGCCCAUUUGAAUUAGGAUACAACCUAACCAGGAGGUUAAGAGUCAUAUUACACAAGAUAAAUCGCUUUAGUGGGCCUAAAGGCAGCCAUCUACUUAGAAAGCGUUAAAGCUCAAGCGAACUUAAAAUCUUUUAUUCUGAUAUUUUAUCUCCAAACCCCUAUUAAUAUUAGGCUAUUCCAUGCCUACAUGGAAAAAAUACUGCUAAAAUGAGUAACAAGAAGGUAACCCCUUCUCCCCGCCCAUGUGUAAAUUAGAUCGGACCAACCACUAAUAAUUAACGAACCCAAUUAAAGAGGGAAAAGUGGCAACAUAAAAAACCAAGAAAAUCCCACACUAAACAAUCGUUAACCCCACACUGGAGAGCCUUGAGGAAAGAUUAAAAGAAAAGGAAGGAACUCGGCAAACACAAGCCUCGCCUGUUUACCAAAAACAUCGCCUCUUGCAAAAAUCUAUGUAUAAGAGGUCCUACCUGCCCAGUGACUAAGUUAAACGGCCGCGGUAUUUUGACCGUGCAAAGGUAGCGCAAUCACUUGUUUUUUAAAUAAAGACCUGUAUGAAUGGUGAAACGAGGGCUUAACUGUCUCCCUUUUCUAAUCAGUGAAAUUGAUCUACCCGUGCAGAAGCGGGUAUAAAUAUACAAGACGAGAAGACCCUAUGGAGCUUAAGACAUAAAAUCAACUAUGUUUAAAAACCCUACUUUAAAGGUAAAAACAAAAUAGCUAAUUGAUUAACGUCUUCGGUUGGGGCGACCAUGGGAGAAAAAAAAUCCCCCAUGUGGAACGGGAUAUAUCCUAAAACCACGAGGUACACCUCUAAGGCACAGAACUUCUGACCAAAAGAUCCGGCAUAAAGCCGAUCAACGAACCAAGUUACCCUAGGGAUAACAGCGCAAUCCCCUCCAAGAGUCCAUAUCGACAAGGGGGUUUACGACCUCGAUGUUGGAUCAGGACAUCCUAAUGGUGCAGCCGCUAUUAAGGGUUCGUUUGUUCAACGAUUAAAGUCCUACGUGAUCUGAGUUCAGACCGGAGUAAUCCAGGUCAGUUUCUAUCUGUAACGCUACUUCUCCUAGUACGAAAGGACCGGAGAAAUAAGGCCCCUACUCAAAACACGCCUUACUUCUACUCAAUGAAAUCAACUAAAUUGAAUAAAGAAAAGCAUAAUACCUCCAAAGAUAACUUGGAUGA